rnacentral:rRNA from 1 species
UACGUAGGGUCCAAGCGUUUGUUCGGAAUUACUGGGCGUAAAGCGCGCGUAGGCGGGUUUGCAAGUCGAUUGUGAAAGCCCUGGGCUUAACCCGGGAUGUGCAGUCGAAACUGUAAAUCUUGAGUGCCUGAGAGGAUGGCGGAAUUCCCGGUGUAGUAGUGAAAUACGUAGAUAUCGGGAAGAACACCUGAGGCGAAGGCGGCUAUCUGGCGGUGCACUGACGCUGAGGCGCGAAAGCGUGGGUAGCAAACAGG